GGGAAGGAAGGUCGUGGACAACAAAGUAAUGAACAAAAAUAUGUUUCACGCAUGAGAAGCUGUCCGAGAUGGCAGUGAGGGAGAGGUCAUGGCAAACGGUGUUUAUGGCAUGGAAAAGUGAAGAUUCAAAAAAAAACCCAAGGAGAGGCCAAGAUAGUGUGGAAAAUAUCCACCCCCUCCCAGAGACAGCUCAUUAGGAAGGUUUUGGAGGGAGACUCGCAGGAGGUCAGGGGCUGCUGUGUUAUCUUUGGAGGAAAGGCCAUCCCUUCUCUUCCCCUCCGCAGACGUAUCCAGUGAGACAACUCUCUCCCCAGCAAGCUUUUCUCAGGGAGCAGGCAGUUUCUUGAAAAAAUGAACCAGAUGAGGAUCCACCCACCUCCAGAAACAAAGACUGUGGCUGUCUCCAAGAAUGAAGCACCAGUCUCUUAGUUGUGAGUAGGUAUUACAAAUAUAAUCAGGGAAAAGAAGCUAUUUUAAAAAAUCGGUCAUUGGGCAGGAUGUUCCAAAGGGCAGAUGAAUGUAACUUCCAAGAUGAAGUAACCGGAUGUCUGUCAACUCAGAAAACAAGGUAAAUUGUAACCACUGAAAGUCCGCUGUUUCGAUUCUGGGCAAGAUGCUAUGGCAGAACAGGGACCAUGAUGAACUACUUAGAAAAAUACAUAAGGCCAUACCCAUGCAGGAGACCUCUCCAGGUACACAUAUUUCCUGCUACUGAAUGGCUUAGACUGGGAUUUGCAAGGAACUACGAAGUCCAAGACCUUUGCCUUUCUUUUAGAAGAAGGCACCAGCUGGUUCUCCAAUGUUGAAGGUCUUCUCCAGAGAUACCUUAAGGUGUGGGGAGAUUACAACUUGCUCAAGGUCUCAUAGCUAGAAGAUGUCAGAGUGAUAACUCAAACCAUGUCACAUGACUCUAAGCCCAAAGCAGCCUCUAGAAGGUUGUUUGAUCUUCUGAUGGAAGCACAAAUCACCAUUCCAACAUGAAAGAUGGAGAAACUUAAGUCUAGAGAGAUUUAAAGGACUUGUCAAAGGCAAUGAAACAAGUGGAACUCUGAAAGCCACAUGUUGAGAUGGCCCCAUUACAGGAUGGAGAGCACCUGAACCCCCAAGUUAUGGACUAGAAGAAGACAGUUGCCCUGGAAAAUCAUCUGACCCACAUUGGACUUUAUGUGAGGGGGAAAUAAACCUUUAUUAUGUUAAGCUACACAA
ensembl:lncRNA LINC00511 long intergenic non-protein coding RNA 511